rnacentral:lncRNA from 1 species
GUUGAUAAUUCAAGCCUGUCAUAUGGGCUCUGUACUCGUCUAAUGUGAUGCAGGUCUUUUGGGCCGCAUAGACUUGAAGAAAAAAACAAGAAACCAGCCCAAACCAAAGCACACUGACGCGUGUUCCGCACUAACCCUAGAGAUCAUCGAAAUCAUCGAUACAUCGCGGGAAGCUAGCAGCAAUCGGAGUAGCGUGGUUCUUACAACCAAGAAGUACGGUCUACAGAGAAGGAAAGAAGGAAAGAAGGAAGCUUCGCCACUCGACAUCCUCGCUAGCAGAUGAAUCGAAUGGAAAUAAAUAGAAGCUGCAACUGCUCGUGAGGAGUGCGCUUAAUCGACGGGACAAGAAAUCACGACCAGGCUCACAGGAAAUCAAGAGGGAGAUUGUACGACUGGAGCUGGGGCUUUGGAUCUACUAGUUGCUGCUGAGUUGCUGCUGGACGCUGUGAAGACUGCUGGAGCACAACUGGACAGACAGCAAUCUGCCGAUCAUAGACAUUCGUGUGCUUCAGGUUGUUAAGUUGCCAAAUUGUUUAUCUUUGUUACUUCAUAGUUAGAAAUACAAUUAAGCCACUGUGAAUGAAUUAUGAGCUGGAAGCUCUAAAGUACUGUCUGUCAUUAAACUCUUCUAGCACAACUUAAAACCCAGAUUUUAGUUCAUGAAGUCUUUGUGAUCAUUCUAUCAGAUACAAUACAUUUGCUCUCAU